CAUUAAGUGGCUGAAAAUAUUUAAGCAUUGGUCUCUUAAACCAAAAUAUAGUAAUUUAAAUCUACUCUUAAUGA
rnacentral:tRNA from 1 species